CUUUUCUUUAAUUCUUCUCGGCAUGCCAUACUGACUUUUCUCCUCGUUUAUUACCGGCGUUAUUCCUUUGCCCUCAACAAAGAUGGCGGCGACCCACUUCCGGUCGCUUAGCGGCUAGUAACUGAAUUAAAAGUUCGUUUUCGGCGGCUGGCUUAUCCUAUGCCAGCGCCCUAAUAGUCACAGCAAAGAAAUCCACACACAGUCUCUCACGUAAGAGGGCUUAACGGUGUUUUGAGAACGAAGUCACGUCGAUCGGCCGGGCUCCGUCUAAUCGCUGGAUUCUCCGUAGUCGACACAGACCCUCCUCCGCUUCUCCGUCGCGGGGACUGGCUAAGUGUUGAUUACUGCUCGGACAUCUGAUUGCUGCCUUUUGUAAGCUUUAUUGUACAAGCAUAAGCUAACACCAGUACAGUAACCGUGCCUUUACAGAAGCCAGAAACUCACCAGCUCGGCUUCAUCAGUCAUAACAACAACAUCAAUGAAAAGAAGAUCCGG
ensembl:lncRNA